rnacentral:rRNA from 1 species
CUUGACUCUUCAAAGGUCUUGGAAUAAGGGGUGGGUAAGGGCGGUGCCAGCCGCCGCGGUAAUACCGGCGCCUCAAGUGGUAGUCGCUUUUACUGGGCCUAAAACGUCCGUAGCCGGUCUGGUGCAUUCGUGGGUAAAUCAACCCGCUCAACGGGUUGAAUUCUGCGAGCACGGCCAGACUUGGGACCGGGAGAGGUGUGGGGUACUCUCAGGGUAGGGGUAAAAUCCUGUCAUCCUGAGAGGACCACCUGUUGCGAAGGCGCCACACUAGAACGGAUUCGACGGUCAGGGACGAAACCUAGGGGCACGAACCGGAUUAGAUACCCGGGUAGUCCUAGGUGUAAACGCUGUGGACUUGAUGUUGGGGGUGCUCCGAGCACUCUCAGUGUCGAAGCGAAGGUGAUAAGUCCACUGCCUGGGGAGUACGGUCGCAAGGCUGAAACUUAAAGGAAUUGGCGGGGGAGCACUGCAACCUGAGGAUUGUGCGGUUUAAUUGGAUUCAACGCCGGGA